rnacentral:rRNA from 1 species
UGAAUACGAGAUGCUACGGCGUCGAAGCAGUCUAUGUCAUACUUCCAAGAAAAGCUUGCACUGUCAUAAACAAAUAAUGCCUGUACCAUAACCGACACAGGUGGGUAGGUAGAGUAUACUAAGGGGCGCGAGAUAACUCUCUCUAAGGAACUCGGCAAAAUGACUCCGUAACUUCGGGAGAAGGAGUGCCUUAUUUAUAAGGUUGCAAUAACAAGAUCCAAGCAACUGUUUACCAAAAACACAGGUCUCCGCUAAGUCGUAAGACGAUGUAUGGGGGCUGACGCCUGCCCAGUGCCAGAAGGUUAAAGAAGUUGGUUAGCAUCCGCGAAGCUGAUAACUGAAGCCCUGGUGAACGGCGGCCGUAACGAUAACGGUCCUAAGGUAGCGAAAUUCCUUGUCGGGUAAGUUCCGACCCGCACGAAAGGCGUAAUGAUUUGGAUACUGUCUCGGAGAGGGGCUCGGUGAAAUAGACUUGUCUGUGAAGAUGCGGACUACCUGCACCAGGACAGAGAGACCCUAUGAAGCUUUGCUGUAACCUGAAAUUGAAAUUGGACUUUACUUGCGCAGUAUAGGUGGGAGGCGUUGAGAAUAUUCUUGCGGGAUUAUUGGAGCCAUCAGUGAGAUACCACUCUUGUAAUGUUAGAUUUCUAACUUUGUAUCAUUAUCUGGUCAAAGAACAGUUUCAGGCGGGCAGUUUGACUGGGGCGGUCGCCUCCUAAACGGUAACGGAGGCGCACAAAGGUUUCCUCUGAACGGGUAGAAAUCGUAUCUAGAGUGUAAAGGCAUAAGGAAGCUUGACUGUGAGACCUACAAGUCGAGCAGGGACGAAAGUCGGUCUUAGUGAUCUGACGGUGCUGAGUGGAAAGGCCGUCACUCAACGGAUAAAAGUUACUCUAAGGAUAACAGGCUGAUCUCCCCCAAGAGUUCACAUCGACGGGGAGGUUUGGCACCUCGAUGUCGGCUCAUCGCAUCCUGGGGCGGUAGUACGUCCCAAGGGUUGGGCUGUUCGCCCAUGAAAGCGGUACGCGAGCUGGGUUCAGAACGUCGUGAGACAGUUCGGUCCAUAUCCGGUGUAGGCGUUAGAAUAUUGAGAGGAGCCUUCUUUAGUACGAGAGGACCGAGAAGGACAUACCUCUGGUGUACCAGUUAUCGUGCCAACGGUAAACGCUGGGUAGCUAUGUGUGGAGUGGAUAACCGCUGAAAGCAUCUAAGUGGGAAGCCCACCUCAAGAUAAGUAUUCUCAC